rnacentral:rRNA from 1 species
UCCAUCAAGACUCUACAAAUUUUAACUUUUGACCUCGGAUCAGGUAGGGAUACCCG